UGAAAAGACAGGAGGUGUAGAAGCUG
rnacentral:piRNA from 1 species